rnacentral:rRNA from 1 species
GAUGUGGAGACAUGUCAGCCGCAAGGCAGUUGUGAAGGUGCUGCAUGGUUGUCGUCAGCUCGUGCCGUGAGGUGUCGGCUUAAGUGCCAUAACGAGCGCAACCCUUAUCGAUAGUUACCAUCAGGUUAUGCUGGGGACUCUGUCGAGACUGCCGUCGUAAGAUGUGAGGAAGGUGGGGAUGACGUCAAAUCAGCACGGCCCUUACGUCCGGGGCUACACACGUGUUACAAUGGGGGGUACAGAAGGCAGCUACACGGCGACGUGAUGCUAAUCCCGAAAGCCUCUCUCAGUUCGGAUUGGAGUCUGCAACCCGACUCCAUGAAGCUGGAUUCGCUAGUAAUCGCGCAUCAGCCACGGCGCGGUGAGUACGUUCCCGGGCCUUGUACACACCGCCCGUCAAGCCAUGAAAGCCGGGGGUACCUGAAGUGCGUAACCGCAAGGAGCGCCCUAGGGUAAAACUGGUGAUUGGGGCUAAGUCGUAACAAGGUAGCCGUACCGGAAGGUGCGGCUGGAUCACCUC